rnacentral:piRNA from 1 species
AUUGUAAGAAUUUUCAGAAAGACCU